UACAGAGGGUGCGAGCGUUGUCCGGAAUCACUGGGCGUAAAGGGCGCGUAGGUGGCGAGCCAAGUCCAUGGUGAAAGCUCGAUGCUCAACAUCGAGUCGGCCACGGAUACUGGUGCGCUUGAGCACUGUAGAGGCUAAUGGAAUUCCGGGUGUAGCGGUGGAAUGCGUAGAGAUCCGGAAGAACACCGGUGGCGAAGGCGGUUAGCUGGGGCAGUUGCUGACA
rnacentral:rRNA from 1 species